rnacentral:rRNA from 1 species
GAGUUUGAUCGUGGCUCAGGAUGAACGCUAGCGGCAGGCUUAACACAUGCAAGUCGAGGGGUAGAGUUAGCUUGCUAACUUGAGACCGGCGCACGGGUGCGUAACGCGUAUGCAAUCUACCUUGUACAGGGGGAUAGCCCAGAGAAAUUUGGAUUAAUACCCCAUAGUGUAACGGAAAGGCAUCUUUUUGUUACUAAAGUUCCAACGGUACAAGAUGAGCAUGCGUCCCAUUAGCUAGUUGGUGUGGUAACGGCAUACCAAGGCAACGAUGGGUAGGGGUCCUGAGAGGGAGAUCCCCCACACUGGUACUGAGACACGGACCAGACUCCUACGGGAGGCAGCAGUGAGGAAUAUUGGUCAAUGGGCGCAAGCCUGAACCAGCCAUGCCGCGUGCAGGAUGACGGUCCUAUGGAUUGUAAACUGCUUUUGUACAGGAAGAAACACUCCCUCGUGAGGGAACUUGACGGUACUGUAAGAAUAAGGAUCGGCUAACUCCGUGCCAGCCGCCGCCGU